GGGGAAAGACCCUAGAGGUGUUGCGAUA
rnacentral:piRNA from 1 species